GUAAGAUUGGUUUUGUCCGCAGGUUGGUGUAAUCUGCGAGCGAAUGCUCAAGGAGCAAGAAACGAAAAUUCGAGAAGAGUACGAUCAGAUCUUACAUCUAAAGCUCUCCGAACAGUAUGACGCUUUCGUCAAAUUCACGUACGAUCAGCUACAGAAAAGAUUCGAGUCCGCGGCUACACCGAGUUAUCUAUCAUAAGAAAAGAUUCUUAUUUAUAAGAAGACAUUUCUGUGAGGAAUAUUAGAUUUCUACUGUGUGAGACAAAUUUUGCUUGCGCCGAGGUCCGCAGCGCCGCCUCGCUCCGGGAAUCGCCUCUAAAAAGAUAAUGAACUAUGGUUUCAGCAGUGUCUAAUAAAAAAAGGACUAAAAAAAAGAGAAAAAUAAGGAAAUGAGAAGAAAAAAUAAUGAUUA